GGCGGCGUGCUUAACACAUGCAAGUCGAGCGGUAAGGCCCUUCGGGGUACACGAGCGGCGAACGGGUGAGUAACACGUGAGCAACCUGCCCCCGACUCUGGGAUAAGCGGCGGAAACGCCGUCUAAUACCGGAUACGACCCGCCACCUCAUGGUGUGCGAGUGGAAAGUUUUUUCGGUUGGGGAUGGGCUCGCGGCCUAUCAGCUUGUUGGUGGGGUAAAGGCCUACCAAGGCGAUUACGGGUAGCCGGCCUGAGAGGGCGACCGGCCACACUGGGACUGAGACACGGCCCAGACUCCUGCGGGAGGCAGCAGUGGGGAAUAUUGCACAAUGGGCGAAAGCCUGAUGCAGCGACGCCGCGUGGGGGAUGACGGCCUUCGGGUUGUAAACCUCUUUUACCACUAACGCAGGCUCCACGUUCUCGUGGGGUUGACGGUAGGUGGGGAAUAAGGACCGGCUAACUACGUGCCAGCAGCCGCGGUAAUACGUAGGGUCCGAGCGUUGUCCGGAAUUAUUGGGCGUAAAGAGCUCGUAGGCGGCGUGUCGCGUCUGCUGUGAAAGACCGGGGCUUAACUUCGGUUCUGCAGUGGAUACGGGCACGCUAGAGGUAGGUAGGGGAGACUGGAAUUCCUGGUGUAGCGGUGAAAUGCGCAGAUAUCAGGAGGAACACCGGUGGCGAAGGCGGGUCUCUGGGCCUUACCUGACGCUGAGGAGCGAAAGCAUGGGGAGCGAACAGGAUUAGAUACCCUGGUAGUCCAUGCCGUAAACGUUGGGCGCUAGGUGUGGGGACUUUCCACGGUUUCCGCGCCGUAGCUAACGCAUUAAGCGCCCCGCCUGGGGAGUACGGCCGC
rnacentral:rRNA from 1 species